GACGAACGCUGGCGGCGUGCCUAAUACAUGCAAGUUGAGCGCUGAAGGUUGGUACUUGUACCAACUGGAUGAGCAGCGAACGGGUGAGUAACGCGUGGGGAAUCUGCCUUUGAGCGGGGGACAACAUUUGGAAACGAAUGCUAAUACCGCAUAAAAACUUUAAACACAAGUUUUAAGUUUGAAAGAUGCAAUUGCAUCACUCAAAGAUGAUCCCGCGUUGUAUUAGCUAGUUGGUGAGGUAAAGGCUCACCAAGGCGAUGAUACAUAGCCGACCUGAGAGGGUGAUCGGCCACAUUGGGACUGAGACACGGCCCAAACUCCUACGGGAGGCAGCAGUAGGGAAUCUUCGGCAAUGGACGAAAGUCUGACCGAGCAACGCUGCGUGAGUGAAGAAGGUUGUCGGAUCGUAAAACUCUGUUGGUAGAGAAGAACGUUGGUGAGAGUGGAAAGCUCAUCAAGUGACGGUAACUACCCAGAAAGGGACGGCUAACUACGUG
rnacentral:rRNA from 1 species